rnacentral:rRNA from 1 species
CCUACGGGUGGCAGCAGUAGGGAAUAUUGCUCAAUGGGGGAAACCCUGAAGCAGCAACGCCGCGUGGAGGAUGAAGGUUUUCGGUUUGUAAACUCCUUUUGUUAGAGAAGAUUAUGACGGUAUCUAACGAAUAAGCACCGGCUAACUACGUGCCAGCAGCCGCGGUAAUACGGAGGGUGCAAGCGUUACCCGGAUUCACUGGGCGUAAAGGGUGCGUAGGCGGGGUAAUAAGUCAGAUGUGAAAUCCUGGAGCUUAACUCCAGAACUGCAUUUGAAACUGUUUCUCUGGAGUGUGGGAGGGGUAGGUGGAAUUCUUGGUGUAGCGGUAAAAUGCGUAGAGAUCAAGAGGAAUACUCAUUGCGAAGGCGACCUGCUGGAACAUUACUGACGCUGAUGCACGAAAGCGUGGGGAGCAAACAGGAUUAGAUACCCUUGUAGUC